rnacentral:rRNA from 1 species
UCGAGAAUCUUCGGCAAUGGGCGAAAGCCUGACCGAGCGAUGCCGCGUGCGGGAUGAAGGUCUUCGGAUUGUAAACCGCUGUCGGAGGGGAUGAAGUGUAUGGGAGCAAUCUCCUGUAUUUGACAGAGCCUCGGAGGAAGCACGGGCUAAGUUCGUGCCAGCAGCCGCGGUAAUACGAACUGUGCAAACGUUAUUCGGAAUCACUGGGCUUACAGGGUGCGUAGGCGGCAUUUUAAGUCAGGUGUGAAAUCCCCCGGCUCAACCGGGGAACUGCGCCUGAGACUGGAUUGCUCGAGUGAGGCAGGGGUGUACGGAACUUCCGGUGGAGCGGUGAAAUGUGUAGAUAUCGGAAGGAACGCCAGCAGCGAAAGCGGUACACUGGGCCUUGUCUGACGCUGAGGCACGAAAGCCAGGGUAGCGAACG